UUAUUGUUUGUAAUAAUGGAUUGAACUUUAAGAAAUUACAUUAAAAUAUCUAGAAAUGGAUUUUUAAAAGUACUACUAGCUUGUUUCAUAUCAAGAUUAGUUUGACAUUUCACCUUGAUAAUAAUUUCAAACUUUAAAUCAAUGUGUUAUGCGAAGGAUCAGGGCAAGAAAAAGAUUAUUUCAGAUUGUAGCAUCCCUUAUACUAUUAUAUAUAGAUCAUUCAGAAACCACUCAUGAAUCUCAAAAAAGAUUUCUCUUGGGGUUUCAAUACAGAAGGGUAAUAUCAUUCAGUGAUUAUGGUUAAGUAAACACUCGGACAAUAAUAAGUAUAUGAUUGAUAAAAAAAUUGGAGGACCAAUUUUGUCACUUGUAUCAUAAUAAAUAUGAAUUAAAUAUUUCUUUUUUUUUAAUAAGAAAUCCAAAUUGUUAAUUUUUAGGUUUUCUUGCACUCUAUAAUAAUAUACUGAAUAGUUUAACGAUAUUACUGGGCAGACGCUCCAUUACUAAAAAUGCUAAUGAGCAUAGAGAAUUUUGGCUGUUCAAUACAGUUGAGAAUACACUUUCAUUGAGUUAUGGGAAAUGAAAUCGUAUAAUCAAUACAGGAAGUAGUUUAUUGUAAGAAAACUUACAGUUGUUCAAAAUUAUAUAUAAUUAUAUUAUAUUAAUUAUAA